rnacentral:tRNA from 1 species
UCCUCGGUAGCUUAGUGGUAGAGCAAACGGCUGUUAACCGUUCGGUCGCUGGUUCGAGUCCGGCCCGAGGAGCCA